rnacentral:sRNA from 1 species
CCCAGCACCGCAGCGAGACUCGCGCCCCCCGCCGGAUCCCCACCUCCGCGCCCGCCCCGCGGGCUGAGCUGCCCGACCGGGGCCCGCCCCCGGCGCCCACCAUGUACGCCUUUGUGCGGUUCCUGGAGGACAACGUCUGCUACGCGCUGCCCGUGUCGUGCGUGCGCGACUUCAGCCCCCGCUCGCGGCUGGAUUUUGACAACCAGAAGGUGUACGCCGUGUACCGGGGCCCGGAGGAACUGGGCGCCGGGCCCGAGAGCCCCCCGCGCGCCCCCCGCGACUGGGGCGCGCUGUUGCUCCACAAGGCCCAGAUCCUGGCGCUGGCAGAAGACAAAUCUGACCUUGAAAACAGUGUGAUGCAGAAGAAAAUAAAAAUCCCCAAGCUUUCUCUUAAUCAUGUAGAAGAAGAUGGAGAGGUUAAAGAUUAUGGGGAAGAAGAUUUACAGCUUAGACACAUCAAGGAUUGUCUGGGGAAAUAUUGAGCUGCAGUCCAAGAAAGUCCCAGCUGCCCUUGCCUGAACUGAUUCUCGUUGUCCUACACAGAGACCUGAGGGGCGGAAGCCGAGUGAAGUGGCGCACAAGAGCAUCGAGGCAGUGGUGGCUCGGCUAGAGAAGCAGAACGGCCUGAGCCUGGGCCAUAGCACGUGUCCGGAAGAGGUCUUCGUGGAGGCCUCACCAGGCACAGAGGACAUGGACAGUCUAGAAGAUGCUGUGGUGCCCCGGGCUCUGUAUGAGGAGCUGCUGCGCAACUACCAGCAGCAACAGGAAGAGAUGCGCCACCUCCAGCAGGAGCUGGAGCGUACUCGGAGGCAGCUGGUACAACAGGCCAAGAAGCUCAAGGAGUACGGGGCACUUGUGUCUGAAAUGAAGGAGCUCCGUGACCUUAACCGGAGGCUCCAGGACGUGCUGCUCCUGCGGCUUGGCAGCGGUCCCGCCAUUGAUCUGGAAAAAGUAAAGUCAGAAUGUCUCGAGCCCGAGCCGGAGUUACGGAGCACUUUCAGUGAGGAAGCAAAUACGUCGUCCUAUUACCCCGCUCCUGCGCCUGUCAUGGACAAGUAUAUCCUAGACAAUGGCAAGGUCCAUCUGGGAAGCGGGAUUUGGGUUGAUGAGGAGAAAUGGCACCAGCUACAAGUAACCCAAGGAGAUUCCAAGUACACGAAGAACUUGGCAGUUAUGAUUUGGGGAACAGAUGUUCUGAAAAACAGAAGCGUCACAGGAGUCGCCACAAAAAAAAAGAAAGAUGCAGUCCCUAAACCACCCCUCUCGCCUCACAAACUAAGCAUCGUCAGAGAGUGUUUGUAUGACAGAAUAGCACAAGAAACUGUGGAUGAAACUGAAAUUGCACAGAGACUCUCCAAAGUCAACAAGUACAUCUGUGAAAAAAUCAUGGAUAUCAAUAAAUCCUGUAAAAAUGAAGAACGAAGGGAAGCAAAAUACAAUUUGCAAUAAACUUUGGAUUUUUCAU